rnacentral:tRNA from 1 species
GGCGCUAUACUUUAAUUUAAAAGACCUGAUUUGCAUUCAGAUAAUGAAGAUAACUUCUAGCGCCC